CCUACGGGGGGCAGCAGUGGGGAAUAUUGCGCACUGGGCGAAAGCCUGACGCAGCGACGCCGCGUGAGGGAUGAAGGUCUUCGGAUCGUAAACCUCUGUCAGCAGGGAAGAACGGUCACUGUGCUAAUCAGCAGUGAAUUGACGGUACCUGCACAGGAAGCACCGGCUAACUCCGUGCCAGCAGCCGCGGGAAUACGGAGGGUGCGAGCGUUAAUCGGAAUUACGGGGCGUAAAGCGGUCGUAGGCGGUAUGUCAAGUCAAGGGUGAAAUCCCCGCGCUCAACGUGGGAACUGCCUUUGAAACUGGCAAACUGGAGUGUGUGAGAGGAUAGUGGAAUUCCUGGUGUAGGAGUGAAAUCCGUAGAUAUCUGGAGGAACAUCAGUGGCGAAGGCGACUAUCUGGCACAUAACUGACGCUGAGGAGCGAAAGCGUGGGUAGCAAACAGGAUUAGAUACCCCUGUAGUC
rnacentral:rRNA from 1 species